rnacentral:rRNA from 1 species
UACGAAGGGGGCUAGCGUUGCUCGGAAUCACUGGGCGUAAAGGGUGCGUAGGCGGGUCUUUAAGUCAGGGGUGAAAUCCUGGAGCUCAACUCCAGAACUGCCUUUGAUACUGAGGAUCUUGAGUUCGGGAGAGGUGAGUGGAACUGCGAGUGUAGAGGUGAAAUUCGUAGAUAUUCGCAAGAACACCAGUGGCGAAGGCGGCCAACUGGACCAUUACUGACGCUGAGGCGCGAAAGCGUGGGGAGCAAACAGG